rnacentral:rRNA from 1 species
UACGGAGGGUGCAAGCGUUAUCCGGAUUCACUGGGUUUAAAGGGUGCGUAGGAGGGUAGGUAAGUCAGUGGUGAAAUCUUCGAGCUUAACUCGGAAACUGCCGUUGAUACUAUCUAUCUUGAAUACCGUGGAGGUGAGCGGAAUAUGUCAUGUAGCGGUGAAAUGCUUAGAUAUGACAUAGAACACCAAUUGCGAAGGCAGCUCGCUACACGAAUAUUGACUCUGAGGCACGAAAAGCGUGGGGAUCAAACAGG